AGUGAACGCUGGCGGCAGGCCUAACACAUGCAAGUCGAACGGCAGCACAGUAAGAGUUUGCUCUUACGGGUGGCGAGUGGCGGACGGGUGAGGAAUACAUCGGAAUCUACUUUUUCGUGGGGGAUAACGUAGGGAAACUUACGCUAAUACCGCAUAUGACCUACGGCUGAAAGCAGUGGAUCUUCGCACCUUGCGCGAUUGAAUGAGCCGAUGUCGGAUUAGCUAGUUGGCGGGGUAAAGGCCCACCAAGGCGACGAUCCGUAGCUGAUCUGAGAGGAUGAUCAGCCACACUGGAACUGAGACACGGUCCAGACUCCUACGGGAGGCAGCAGUGGGGAAUAUUGGACAAUGGGCGCAAGCCUGAUCCAGCCAUGCCGCGUGGGUGAAGAAGGCCUUCGGGUUGUAAAGCCCUUUUGUUGGGGAAGAAAAGCAGCAGGUUAAUACCCCGCUGUUCUGACGGUACCCAAAGAAUAAGCACCGGCUAACUUCGUG
rnacentral:rRNA from 1 species